rnacentral:rRNA from 1 species
UACGUAGGUGGCAAGCGUUGUCCGGAAUUACUGGGCGUAAAGGAUGCGUAGGCGGCCUCUUAAGUGGGAUGUGAAAUGCCGGGGCUUAACCCCGGAGGUGCAUUCCAUACUGGGAGGCUAGAGUGCAGGAGAGGAAAGCGGAAUUCCCAGUGUAGCGGUGAAAUGCGUAGAGAUUGGGAGGAACACCAGUGGCGAAGGCGGCUUUCUGGACUGUAACUGACGCUGAGGCAUGAAAGUGUGGGGAGCAAACAGGAUUAGAUACC